CGUGUAGGCGGAGGAGCAAGUCAGAUGUGAAAUCCCGGGGCUUAACCCCGGAACUGCAUUUGAAACUGUUCCCCUUGAGUAUCGGAGAGGCAAGCGGAAUUCCUAGUGUAGCGGUGAAAUGCGUAGAUAUUAGGAGGAACACCAGUGGCGAAGGCGGCUUGCUGGACGACAACUGACGCUGAGGCGCGAAAGCGUGGGGAGCAAACA
rnacentral:rRNA from 1 species